CAGAAAUCGCAGCAGCUUUCCAUUUCUUCAGCUUCUGACGGCCAAGUCCUUGCAAUCCCAGCGAGGAAUCGUUUUGAGAAAGCACAUGCUGCAAUUAAGGCACUGCCCAAAAGCACACUCGGCCAGCAAAGCCAGUAUUUAUCAAUACAAUUUUAAGUGUCUUGCAGACCAUUUGGCCUCUCCUGCUGAUGAGGAAAGCCACUGGACACAGUAAAUCUUUGGUGUCUUACCUGCACUGUCUGAACCGUAACAGCUUACAGGAGCCCUGCUUUCACGUUUGCUCUGAGGUCCCAGGUUGAAAGAGACGGUGUUAUCCAUUCUCCCGAUCUCCUCCUGGGAGGGACUGAGGCGAGGGCUAGGACCCCCUUGGCAUGCCAGGAGGAGCUCUGGCCUCCCCAUGAUUUCUGCUCCAGCUCAAGGCUGCCUGCGGGACAUGCCCAGUGGUUGCCAGAGCUGCUGUUGGUGGUGUUACAAGAUGGGGGUUGAAGGAGAUCGCCGUCACGCAGGAGGCAAUUCUCCCUGCUGUAGAGACGCCUGCCCGGGAGCUGCGGUGCUCUACAUCACGGUGGGAACAGACUCUUUGGGCCCUCGAUUAUCCCGUAUGAUGUGGCUGCCAACAGGACCAUCGCCUCUUUCUUAG
rnacentral:lncRNA from 1 species